rnacentral:rRNA from 1 species
UACGGAGGGGGCUAGCGUUGUUCGGAAUUACUGGGCGUAAAGCGCGCGUAGGCGGACCUGCAAGUCGGGGGUGAAAGCCCGAGGCUCAACCUCGGAACUGCCUUCGAUACUGCGGGUCUCGAGUCCGGGAGAGGUGAGUGGAAUUCCUAGUGUAGAGGUGAAAUUUGUAGAUAUUAGGAAGAACACCAGUGGCGAAGGCGGCUCACUGGCCCGGUACUGACGCUGAGGCGCGAAAGCGUGGGUAGCGAACAGG